ensembl:lncRNA
CUGUUUCAUGAGGAUUAAAAGCAGUUGUGUCCACCUAAGUGAAAAAAGAAUCACCUGGGAGCAUUUAAAAACCGAUGCACUAGGCCCACUCCAAAGUUUCCACCUUCAGUUAACCGCUGAUUUAAAGUGCUUUUUCUCUGUCAUUAAAAUAACGUGACCUAAACUUACUGUGAGAGGCAAAUACUAAGAUGGAAUCUAUGAUCUCUAUCUCUGAUGUCCUCCACCCCUAUACUCAUCUCCUUUCAAGUGUGGCUGGGACAAACUUCUAGCCAAUAGAACAUAGCAGAGGUGAAAGAAUUUUGCAGAUGCAGUGUAGGUUCCGAGUCAGUUGAUUUUGAACUAAUCAAAAAGGAGGUCAUUUUGGUUGGGCCUGACUUAAUUAGUUGAAAACCCUUAAAAGACUAACCUAGCCGUCCCCAAUGAGAAGGACUCUCUCUCCUUCCAACCAGAGGGAUCUUGGAAGACGAUCUUUCCCUCGCUGAUCCUCUGAAUGAGAAUGCAAUCUAACAAGUAGAUUUCAGCUUCAUGAGAUCCUGAACAGAGGACCCAGGAAAACUUGAACCAGGGGGUAAACUGAGAUAGAGUUGGCCAGAGCCGGAAAUUAUAACAAGCUGUGAACAAUCAUUGAAGCUUCCUGAAGGUACUAGAGUGGUCUUUGCAAGAAAAGCUCCCAGGAUGGAGCUGCUUUCCCAGCUCUACCUUGACUGUGCCUCUCCAGGAGCCCAGGAAGCAAGGACACCCUUACCUAAGUACUGUUAUACCGACUUACCCCAGAGAAGACAAACUCGGGACACCCCUGGAGGUCUCAGCACGUUUGUACCAGGCUUUCUGACUAGCCAGCUGACUUUCAUUCCCAGAGGAAUCAAAUGACCCCAUCUAUGUCAUUUACUUGUAUCAAAUAAGGGAAUGUGGAGCAAGUUUCUCGGCUUAGCCCCCUAACACCUGAUGCUGCCGUCCGCACCUGACUCAGUCAAACCAUUAUGGUCUACCUUCAAGAUGGGGCAAUCAGAUUCACAUGCUGCCUGGGAAUUUUGAUCAUAAACUGAGAGCUACCCACUGCAAUCUCGGGAGAGAUGAGGCAACUUGAUGACAAUACCUCGUUAUAACAUCGAGGAAUUCCUUGUCCCUGGAGCUGUUCUGGCAUUGCCCUUGCAGAAGCUUUGCCACCCUGCUCUUUCAUUGCCUUUGAGUACCAUGCUACCUUCUCAUAAAUCUCCUUUGUACUUAAGUAGGCCAAGGUCCAUUGCUUUCUAUUGCAUGUACCCAAAAUAACAUUAACAGAUACAAUAAGCUUGUUAGUGCUACACAGAGAGCUGUUCUUUGCCCAAGGACAGCACAUUUCAAUUUAGCCAGGUAUUUUUUAAAAAUCUGUGCCAGGAAGCAAAGUUGAAUCUGGACCAAAAAAAUAUACAUGAAUCAGUGAAAGUCCAUUAUCUGUUAUGGAAAAGCAAAAGAACACAUACAAAUGACUCUAACAGUGGAUUAUAACAUAAAAGCAUCCUUUUGUAUGUUAUGUAUAUGAGUUUUGAUUAUAAAGAGUUAUGCCUCAAUUCUUAAAUGUGUCGCAGAAGUGAUUUCAUUGCUAGUUAUAUCAUAUGUUUACCAUUUAUGAACAAAAUCUUUAUACGCUGCACAUCUGUGAGAAUUCCUUUUUUGUACGAUUUACCAAGAAAAAAAUGAAGGGAGAUAAAAUUAAUCCAUCUCUUACAUGUACUCCAGUUCACUCUAUAAAAUAAAAUGAAGGUGGUUGAAGAAGGCAAUUAUAAGAUUUCGUUUUCUCGCUAAGAAGCUCAAAGUACUUAUCUGUCGUUAUUCAAUUGAUUUUGUAGGAUCCCCUUGAGAGUUGUGGAAUACAGUUAUUUUAUAACCAGAGAAAUUAAUGCAGAAACACCACAUGCUGUGUUAACUGUAAGAGCAGGAUUAGGAAUCAUAUCCUCUGAGUUUAUAAAUUAUCAUUAGCCCAUUAAAUUAUGUGGAGUUCGUCCCAGUGCUGUACACUUUCUUCUUCCUAACUGUGCUUCCAAUGUAGCAAUGAACUAAAUGGCCAACCAUUUUAUGAACCUUCUGGUUUAAGGUAAAAGAAAUCAUUUAGUGUCAAUUAACUUCGUUCAUGGAUCGACCCCUGUCUUUACAAUUCCCUAUGAGAGCGGGUGGGUCACUGUUAAAAUGUCACAUGCAUAAUGACAGGCAAACCAUUUUAGAAGUUAGUCACUUUUUUUGGUCUUCUAUUAAACGUCUUGGCCUGGUAGUCUGUGUAUAUCUAUCAUAUCUUUCAAUGGCAUCUGCCUUUAAUUUUCCACAUUUACCAUCCACUCAGCCACACUGUUUUAUUUCCCAUGAGGUGAACAUUAUUAUCUUUUCCCACUUCCUUUCUUUACAUUUCUUAUUUUUUUCUGACUCAUGCUGUUUCUCCUGACAUAAUGACAUCUCCUUCUGCUGACUUGACCUAAAUCCUGUGUAUCCGACCUUCUCCAUAGGGUCUUCCCUGGAACUUCAAACUAAGCCAUUCCUCUCACUUGUAAAUUCAGGUCAGACUUGUCUCUCUGCUGUUAAGGGUGUUAGUACUGUUUACUUAACUUCUUCCUCAUCCCUUGAACAUGUAUUUAACCCUCAUUUUGUUACUUCCUGUACUGACAUCUCUUCUUCCCAAGGAGAUUAAAAUCUUCCCAGGACAGGAACAGUGACUUACCUGAUUCUAGCUCAGAUAACAUCCAGUGCAGUAUUUUGCAUUUACCAGGUAUUUAAAAAUGCACAGUGUGGAGUCUUGAUUAAUUUACUUAGCAUGCUUCAGCAAAUCUGAUGCUUUGGAAAGCAGAGGAAAUUUUAAAAUGCUUAAUUUGUACCUAUUAAUAAUAUAAAGGGGGACAAUUAAAUACUUCUAUAUUUAUAAAAUGAAGAAUGGUUCAUAAAAAUAUGAUUUUAGUUUGUAACGUCCUUACACUGAAUACUAUUCCAUUAGACAGCAAUUUAGUUUUCAUAUAGUGAGUUAAAUAGCACAAUCACUAGAAACUCCUUCAGAUUAAUAUUAAUCUUGAUUGUCUCGUAGUCUAAAGGAAGAUACCAUUUUUGUUUAUUGGGCAUUUUAUUCUGUUGUCUAUGCGGGCAGUCAUUGGCCUCUGUGUAAACAGCCAAGGGUUCUCCCCAAGCCUACUUUAAACCAUUAUUCUCUACCUGCUGUUUUGACCCACCCAUCCACAAUUGUUAUAACCUAUGCCUCGCCUAUUGUGUGGUAGAGAGCUGGUCAAGUUCAUGGUUUUUAGCCUUUGUAUACAAUGCUUAUUCCAGAGCACCCUAGACCACCUCGUUUCUCUGAGCUCCUUCUGCAUCUCACUCUAUUUCUUUACUCAAAAACAUAAACAUUCAGUUAAAUAAAUCUCUCUUGAGUUCUUAUUAGCAGCAGGGUACUGGACUAGCUGUUGCUAAUGAAUCUACUGCUGUGUCAAAAUAUUUAAAGAUUACAUUUUGAAAUGUAAUCUUUGAUCAAGCUACUCCACCCUAAGAUUUUAUCCUGAGGAAAUAAUCAGAAUUAGGCAAUAACAUUCAUGUACAGAGAUGUUCAUAAUAGCAUUAUUUGAAAUGUCAAAAUAUUUAAAACCAAAGCAAGAAAAUACUGCAUUUUCAUAAGCAGGAAACAACUUAUAAACAUCAAAGAACAUCGGAAAAGGAUAUUUUAUGACAAGAUAAAUGGGUACCACAUAUUGUGAUAUAGCAUGAUUUAUUAAAUCAUUUACUAUCACAUGCAAUAUGUCACACAUAAGUCAAGGCACUAGUUACAUGGCCAUAAAAAAGUAAAGAAGCACCUGCCCAGGUGAAGCUUACAUUCUCAUGAUGAAACAGAGACUAAAAGAUAAGAAAAUAACUACAUCGUAAAUAUCAGGCAGUGACAAAUAGAAUAAGGGGGAGCCUGACUCAGGAACUAUUUUUCAUGAUAGUCAAGUAAGAUAAAAUCAGUCAAGUGAAUACCUGAAAAAGAGUAUUUCACACAAAGCAAAUCUUAAAGAUUUGAUAUUA